rnacentral:rRNA from 1 species
UACGAAGGGGGCUAGCGUUGUUCGGAAUUACUGGGCGUAAAGCGCACGUAGGCGGAUAUUUAAGUCAGGGGUGAAAUCCCAGAGCUCAACUCUGGAACUGCCUUUGAUACUGGGUAUCUCGAGUAUGGAAGAGGUAUGUGGAACUCCGAGUGUAGAGGUGAAAUUCGUAGAUAUUCGGAAGAACACCAGUGGCGAAGGCGACAUACUGGUCCAUUACUGACGCUGAGGCUCGAAAGCGUGGGGAGCAAACAGG